GAAAAAUAUUAUUGCCGACUGCCAGAAAGUUUCUCUCCUCUCUCGCCUAUGGACGUGUCCUUUACUACUCUUUCUAGAGAAAAAUCCCUCUCUAUCUUGCCGAUGGAAAAUACAAAUCUGAACAAGAUACUAGCUACGGCGAGGAUUUCUUUAGCCGGACUCUCUCUCACACCUAUGCCGGCAACUUUUGCAAGUAUAACUCAUGCUCAGCCAGUGAAUUUUGGCGCUCAUGAAAUUGAAGCAGUGUACUACAGCUGGACAGAUAACAGUGGAUCAGGGAAAUCAGAUGAUGAAACGAACGGUCUGGACUAUUUGGAUAAUAAAAUUCAAACCGAGAGGCCCCCGUACUGUCUGGAUAUUUUUCUUGGUUCAUCUGACUCGCGUCUAGAGGAUCAUCCUGCACUCAAGAAAUUUCCCCUUAAUGAAAGCGGGAAAGUGAAGAAUGGAGACAAAUGGACUGUGGUAACUGUUGAAGGCAACCACAGGAUAAAAUAUCUAGAUGUAGAACAGGGUAAAAAGCAUGGCUAUAGCGUAACGGCUGAUAACCUGAAGUUAUUAAAAUUGAGGAUCCACUUUGAUUACCGUGAUCGUCCUGGUCGACCCAAAAAAGGCAAUGGGCCGUCAGAAUCAAAGAAGCGGAGACCUCUAGAGAUUAGACUUUGCAAGCAUGGGCUUGGCAAAGGAUUCGAGAAAGGAAUCGAAGGCAUGCGAGAGGGGGGAAUAA
rnacentral:misc_RNA from 1 species